UACGUAGGGUGCAGGCGUUAAUCGGAAUUACUGGGCGUAAAGCGUGCGCAGGCGGUCUGCUAAGACAGGUGUGAAAUCCCCGGGCUUAACCUGGGAACUGCGCUUGUUACUGGCAGGCUGGAGUGUGGCAGAGGGGGGUGGAAUUCCACGUGUAGCAGUGAAAUGCGUAGAGAUGCGGAGGAACACCGAUGGCGAAGGCAGCCCCCUGGGCCAACACUGACGCUCAGGCACGAAAGCGUGGGGAGCAAACAGG
rnacentral:rRNA from 1 species